rnacentral:rRNA from 1 species
CCGUAGCCCAAGAGAUCGGGAUAACACCUGGAAACAGAUGCUAAUACCGGAUAACAACAGAUGAUGCCUAUCAACUGUUUAAAAGAAUGGUUCUGCUAUCACUCUUGGAUGGACCUGCGGUGCAUUAGCUAGUUGGUAGGGUAACGGCCUACCAAGGCGAUGAUGCAUAGCCGAGUUGAGAGACUGAUCGGCCACAUUGGGACUGAGACACGGCCCAAACUCCUACGGGAGGCAGCAGAU